CACAAUAUUGAGAAGGAUGCCGAUUCUAUGU
rnacentral:piRNA from 1 species